AUCAUACUCCCUUCGUCCGGAAAUACUUGUCAUCAAAAUAAAUAAAAGGGGAUGUAUCUAGAUGUAUCUUAGUUCUAGAUACAUCUCUUUUUAUCCAUUUUGAUGACAAGUAUUUUCGGACGGAGGGAGUAUAUG
rnacentral:pre_miRNA from 1 species